rnacentral:rRNA from 1 species
UACGUAGGUGGCAAGCGUUGUCCGGAAUUAUUGGGCGUAAAGCGCGCGCAGGCGGUUCCUUAAGUCUGAUGUGAAAGCCCCACGGCUCAACCGUGGAGGGUCAUUGGAAACUGGGGAACUUGAGUGCAGAAGAGAAGAGCGGAAUUCCACGUGUAGCGGUGAAAUGCGUAGAGAUGUGGAGGAACACCAGUGGCGAAGGCGGCUCUUUGGUCUGUAACUGACGCUGAGGCGCGAAGCGUGGGGAGCAAACAGG